UAACCGCUUAAUAUAUGCCAUAAUCAAUCAAUCAAUGGUAUUUGUUGAGCGUUUACG
rnacentral:pre_miRNA from 1 species